rnacentral:rRNA from 1 species
GACGAACGCUGGCGGCGUGCUUAACACAUGCAAGUCGAACGGAAAGGCCCUGCUUUUGUGGGGUGCUCGAGUGGCGAACGGGUGAGUAACACGUGAGUAACCUGCCCUUGACUUUGGGAUAACUUCAGGAAACUGGGGCUAAUACCGGAUAGGAGCUCCUGCUGCAUGGUGGGGGUUGGAAAGUUUCGGCGGUUGGGGAUGGACUCGCGGCUUAUCAGCUUGUUGGUGGGGUAGUGGCUUACCAAGGCUUUGACGGGUAGCCGGCCUGGGAGGGGGACCGGCCACAUUGGGACUGCGAUAGGGCCCAGACGCGUACGGUGGGCAGCAGUGGGGAAUAUUGCACAGUGGGCGGAAGUCGGAUGCGGAAACGCCGCGUGCGGGAUGACGGCCUUCGGGUUGUAAACCGCUUUCGCCUGUGACGAAGCGUUAGUGACGGUAAUGGGUAAAGAAGCACCGGCUAACUACGUG